GGUUGCGUAGCUCAAUUGAAUAGAGCGUCUGACUACGGAUCAGAAGGCUAGGGGUUUGAAUCCCUUCGCGACCA
rnacentral:tRNA from 2 species